AUGACAACCGAAUGUAAAUACCAUGCCCCACCAGGGCAUUCUGGUCAUUUCGCGUCAUGGGGUAUAAAUGGGGGGCGCUCCUGGAGACCUAGCCGCCGCCUCCUCUCUCCCUCCCUCCCGCAGCCGCCUCCCUCCCUCCCACCCACCCACAUCGCCGCUGCCGCCACCCACGCGCGUGCGAGAUGCGUCGCCGCCGCCGCCAUCGCCAUCCUCCAUCGCCCCCAUCUCGCCCGCCUCCCCCACAUUCCCAUCUCGGUCAGCAUCCCCGUGGCCGGCGCUGGCACUAGCAGCUGCAGGAGGAGGUGUGGGUUAGCGGCGGUGGGGCCAGCAACAGCAGCAGCGACAGACGGGCGGGUGCUGGGCCACCGGCCCGUGGAGGACGUGUGCAAGGUGUGCGUGGUGCGCGGCGCGGCGGCGCAGGAGCGGGGGGAGGCGCUGCGGGCGAUGGAGACGUGGUCGUCGCAUCACCAUCGACGGGAGGAGCGCAGGAACUGCGAGCUCCCCUUCGGCGACCAGGCCUUCUCCUCCUUUGCUCUUGGCAGCCACCGCUGCGCUCCCGUCAGCGCCGUCCUUGAGGUACGUCUACCAUCUCCUUCCCUGCUUAUCUUGCGGCCAUUGUGCCCUUGCCGCACUGGUCCUAACCAAGGCUUCUGCCGCUCCUCGACGCUCGGCAGGUCUCACCUGCGUUCCAGUGAGUUGAGAUUGAAGGUGGACCAGGAUCUGUGGGCUUUGUUCUAUUCGUCGGUCACCCUUGCCUUGGCACUAGCCGUGCAAUGGAAGAGAAAUAACUCAUGCAUUGCUAAUUCCCUACUUGAAAGCUACUGCUGUGAAGGCACCUGUCAUGGCAAACUUCACGAGUUGCCCGAUGACCAGUUCAUUCCUCUCAGUAGGAUGCUUUACAGGGUGUCGGUUGUAGAGACGGAAGAGGAGGUUGAUACAUCCUCGGCGCCUGCUGCAGCGACCACGACCACAUCACGAGAGAAGGCAGGGGCACCGGUGCCUGGCGAUGAGGCGGCGACGGCGAGGCUGGAGGUCGAGGGGCGCUGGGGACGAACGGAUCCGGCCGCUCCGGACCUGUUCCGGCCGGAUCCGGCGACAGCUCGCGACGGGGCUGUGGCGAGGAAGCUCCGGCGCGGUGGCUCCUGCGAGGAAGAGAGAGAGAGAGGGAAAACGGUUGAUAAGCAGUUAAUUAAGAUUAUGCCAGAUGUGACCUUCUACUUAACUGUGAUGAUGUACAGACCUUCUGAACUAGAUCAUGUGUGCUCAAGUACAAAAGGAAAUCCUGGUCCAUGCUCUAGCUGCCGCAGCCUACAGAAAUACUCACCAGCAAAUGAUGAUGUACAUCUACUCUUCUCUAAGAAUGAAAUAUGUGACUCUUGGAUAAAGCCGCUGGUUGGUUCGAGAGUACCUGCCCUUAAGUUUUAUGUCUGCCAAAUGAACAUCACAUUCACCAGACCUGGAAAAAGAGUGGAAAAGGAUCUCCAACCAGGAUGCAUCAAGGCAUAUGCUAGGGGAAACAAAUCGCGAACAAGCUUGGUGAACCCUCCGUGGAGGAGGCCGCCUGGCUGUGGAGGUCUAAAGACAAUGUUGAUGCCAUGCGCAAGCGCAAUCUACCGUGCCAGGUUAUAUGUGACCGCACCCGACAGGGGUGUGGGGUGCGGCAAGCCGCACUUUCCAUCCAGUGCAAAGGAAACUGGGCCGGUCGGCCCAUAUGUCCAUAUGUCUAUUUUAGUUGCCAGCCCAUACUGCGUUGAUGACGUUUCAUCGCCCGGUCAAGGACAGACAACAGAACCCACGGCGUACGGCCUCGCCGCCGCUGGCUUCUCUCAUGUGCCGUGUUGUUUACUAUCGGAUCCGUGUGCGAGAAUUACACCAAUACGGAGCCAUGGUGCCUCCAUCUGUAUUCCAUAA
rnacentral:rRNA from 1 species